GUACAGAUAUCCAUCGUCCCCAGAGGAUGAAUCCUACCAACUCUGGACAUCUCUUGACUUUUCCUCUAGUGCCACCGUGAGAUUGACAGUUUUGGAGACUAUUUGAUUGCCCAAUUAAAAGGCACUUGCUAGUUUUUUCUGUCCUUUCAAUCACAUCCUGCAGUCUUCAUCAGUGUAUGACUCUCUCUCCAUUAAGAUUAUUUGUCAAACUGCUAUUUCCAAGGCCAAGAAUGACUUUCACAAUGUCCUUGGUUAAGGAGAGAUCAAGGUCAUAGUUUAAACGAAACCAAUGUUGAUAGAAAAUAAGUCUCUCCCCAGUAUCCUCAGAUUGCUUCCACUUGUUUUGUCCAACAGUCAAAAAAUUUACAAUCAAAUAAAACAGAGUAAAUCUUCACAUUUGAGAAGCUGUAACCAACAAAUCUUUAUCUUUGGUAUGUUUUAGUAUGUUUGGUUGAUAUUUUAUCUAUGAUCUUGAAUAUGAGUUUCUAUUGUAGAUAAAGCACGGGAGCAAGCUGAUGAAUCAUAUUUGUGAAAAUUUCAAACAUGCAUGGGAAAGUAUUUCAUUUAAACUUGAAGCUACUUGGGUGGAAAUAUAAGAGGAAUUCUGAGAUUAUCAGGGUUCAAGUGAUGACUGUGCUUUAUGUUGCCGUAGCAACAGAGUGACCGAAACUCUCAGAAAAAAAACAAGAAAGAUAAACUUGAGUUGAUGGGAGAGUGCGGGGAGACGGGAGGUGUGUGUGAGUCACUCUUCAAACAACUCAGGUCGGUUCUCUUCGUGCCUUUCAUAACUGAAAUAUGAACUCACACACCUUUGAAGAAGCAACGGCACUGCGAGAGUGGAGAAGACCCAGAGCAGCGCUGUACGUGUGUGUGUGUGUGUGUGUGCACUAGUACUGCAGCAAACUCUGAGGGACGGCUCAUCCUGAUUGGCUGAUGCCAUCGCCUGGGAGCCAAACGAGUGGUGCACCCUCUUCUGACUGACAGGUGUGUGAACGGCAGCCAAUCAGAGCCAAGGUCAGAUGGUGAGAUGGGCAGAUGAGAGUGAUGUGGGAAGGAGGAUUUGUAGUUUGUUCACUGGGUGGGAAACGUGUGUGUGUGUGUGUGUGUGUGUGUGUGUGUGUGUGUGUGUGUGCGUGUGUGUGUGUGGCGAGGUGCUAAGAGUGCUGUCACAACUACCAAAGCAUGCUAAGUGUUUCAGUUUCAUUUUAAGAUCACUGGUAUGUCUGACCUCUCGCACCAAUCCACCUGCCAACUCUCUCUCUCUCUCUCUCACACACACACACACACACACACAAACAACAACUUCAAAGCUAAUUUAAAACAUCUUUAAUAGAGAUUCAAAAGAGGCCGUGAGAGACUAUUCCAGAUCUUUGGAGGCCUCCUGCUCUCUGUGUCCAGCCUGGCUCGGUGGACUGUCAGCGACAACUGGUCAGCAGACCUCGGGCUGUGAACUGGAAUGCAUGGACGAGAAGGUUGUUGUUGUCCGUUAAGAGUCUCCGAGUCAGUCGGGUUCAGGCUGAUGGGUUCAAGAAUGCAGCACUUUAUUACCAGAGACUGAGGUUUCCAUCUUGCAUCCUUUGUGUAGUUAUGGAUUGUGUGGUUUGGAUUAAAUACUGAAAAAGUAAAAGCUUGUGUAACUGUUGAUUUUUUCAGUAUGAAAAACAUGACAUCAAUCUUUCCCUAACUUUAAAGGUGGCCUGUGGAGUUUUCUCCUGAACAAACAGGAAUUACGUCCACAUUCAGUGUUUCUCACAAAACGCACAUUGUGCAAUCUUACAUCUAAACCAAACUUUGCCUUCAGACAUCACACAAAAGCCUUCAAAUACACAAACCAGCCAUCACACACUGGUGAGAUCCAUUCAAAACACUACCAAUAAAAACCUGUUACUGCGAUGAAUAAUGGCGCUUAUGGUUUUCCCCCCAGAACAACCUCUUUACACAUUGAACACAAUAUAAAGACACAACACACGUAUACAUUUUUUUUUAAUUCCUCAAUGUACUGUAGUAAAAUAAACUGAAAAUUAAGUUAUUAUAAUAACUAAGUUCAGGAACAAGCCCACGCCCCGCUCCUUCUCACCAAUUCACAACACCUGCGCCUCGUUAACCCAAAUCACCUGUGCCUCCCGGCCACAUACCUGCACGCAUAUAUAAGCACACCUAGCCUCCACCUCUCCUGUUUGUCUCGGUUCUCUCAAACCCCACCUGCCCCCAAAACCCCAUUCUCCUCUCUCCUCUCAGCGGGUGACACGGUGGCUCAGUGGUUAGCACUGUAGCCUCACAGCAAGAAGGUCCUGGGUUACGAACUCCAGUUUCCUCCGACCAUAAAGACAUGCACGCCAGGGCCUAUACUUCAAUCCCAGUAAUUCUACUCUCUUUCAUCAUAGGAACCACCAAGGGGAUGAUGAAGCUCAUCGAGACGUGCCCCCACCCUGAAUCUCCAUCCCCGGGUUCCUAGACGCUCCAGCCUCAACUCAACUCCAACCGGUCACUAUCCAUCCAGUUCGACUCCUUCAUGACGGCAACCCACAUCCGGCGUCCAUCACCUCCCCUCGACCCCAACAUCCAUCGCCCUUCAUCUUAUUCCUUCCUGAACCAUCUUGCUGAUCAAAUAAACUAUUUAAAGUAUACACAAAUGGCGCGGUCUAAGUUAGUGAAUUGAGUGAAAAAUUAAAUGUAUUGUAAAAAUAUGCAACUGAUACAGAACGUAGAAUACAGUAAAAUAAUUUCCAUGUAUUUACCAAUAAAAACCACAGUUUAUACAUAAAGAAAUAAAUCAUGUUUAUUCUGCCUCAGGUCUUUGUGGAUCCAUUGUUCUAAAACAAGUGAACUGAUCCACGGCCCUGUUAUUUAUCUAUCCCGAGGUUCAGACUGGUGAACAAUUUUGACUCUUAGUGUUUCCACCCGGAGAAUUGUGUGUUAAUUGGGUUCCAGCUGUGAUGACUUGAGUUAAUGAUAUUGAAUGCCAGCGCUUCCUAAACGAGCACGAGUGAAAACAGGAGAACAGUGUUUAUAGUUUUGGGAAAUGAGUCUUUUGGUAAACGGCGUCACAGUUUGGGGAUUUUUAGUUAAAAGGCCCAGUUAUAGUGUGUAAGUGAUCGAGAAAAACUGUAAUAAUGAUGAAUUAAUUGUUUAUAUUCAGGGAUUUUUAAAAAAGUUUUUCUCAUGAGUUGACACGUAGACACUAAAUCCAUAAUAAUGCAAAGUCCAGAUCCCGAAUUUUCUGAGUCAAGAGAUAUGCUGAUGAGGUGUAUUCUGGCAUAA